rnacentral:rRNA from 1 species
AGUGAACGCUGGCGGCAGGCCUAACACAUGCAAGUCGAACGGCAGCACAGGAGAGCUUGCUCUCUGGGUGGCGAGUGGCGGACGGGUGAGGAUAGCGUCGGAAUCUGCCUUUUUGUGGGGGAUAACGUAGGGAAACUUACGCUAAUACCGCAUACGACCUACGGGUGAAAGUGGGGGACCUUCGGGCCACACGCAGAAAGAUGAGCCGACGUCGGAUUAGCUAGUUGGUGGGGUAAAGGCCCACCAAGGCGACGAUCCGUAGCUGGUCUGAGAGGAUGAUCAGCCACACUGGGACUGAGACACGGCCCAGACUCCUACGGGAGGCAGCAGUGGGGAAUAUUGGACAAUGGGCGCAAGCCUGAUCCAGCCAUGCCGCGUGUGUGAAGAAGGCCUUCGGGUUGUAAAGCACUUUUGUACGGGAAGAAAAGCGCCGAUUUAAUACAUGGGCGUCAUGACGGUACCGUAAGAAUAAGCACCGGCUAACUUCGUGCCAGCAGCCGCGGUAAUACGAAGGGUGCAAGCGUUACUCGGAAUUACUGGGCGUAAAGCGUGCGUAGGUGGUUUGUUAAGUCUGAUGUGAAAGCCCUGGGCUCAACCUGGGAACUGCAUUGGAUACUGG